rnacentral:tRNA from 1 species
AAGAGUGGUGAAUUUUCAGUUACAAUGAAAAUAACCUUUUUAGGCACUCUUA